rnacentral:rRNA from 1 species
AUGUCACCAAGUGACUCAAAGUGGCCCUUUGUGCUGAAAAGAAGGCAAUAUCCUCUAUCAGUUUAUUUCGCAAUGACCAUAACCAAAAGCCAAGGUCAAUCCCUAAACAAGGUGGGCCUAUAUUUGCCUAAGCAAGUCUUCUUCCAUGGGCAAUUAUAUGUAGCAUUAUCAAGAGUCACAACCAGAGAAGGAUUAAAGGUGUUGAUUGACAACACGGAGUACCCAAGCGAAGAUAGCGCAAAGAAUAUAGAAAGCUAG